CCUACGGGUGGCAGCAGUGGGGAAUAUUGCACAAUGGGGGAAACCCUGAUGGAGCAACGCCGCGUGAGUGAAGAAGGAUUUCGGUAUGUAAAGCUCUAUCAGCAGGGAAGAGAAUGACGGUACCUGACUAAGAAGCCCCGGCUAACUACGUGCCAGCAGCAGCGGUAAUACGUAGGGGGCGAGCGUGAUCCGGAUUGACUGGGGGUAAAGGGAGCGUAGACGGUUCUGCAAGUCUGAAGUGAAAGCCCGUGGCUUAACCCCUGAACGGCAUUGGAAACUGUGGACCUGGAGUGCCGGAGAGGUAAGUGGAAUUCCUAGUGUAGCGGUGAAAUGCGUAGAUAUUAGGAGGAACACCAGUGGCGAAGGCGGAUUGCUGGACAGUAACUGACGUUGAGGCUCGAAAGCGUGGGGAGCAAACAGGAUUAGAUACCCUAGUAGUC
rnacentral:rRNA from 1 species